GUCUAGGACCCCUGGGUUGUCGCGCAGAUCCCGGACGAGCCCCCAAAUGAAAGACCCCCGAAGGGAGCCCCCCACUCAAGUCUCGGGAAAGACGCGCACCCAGUAGGACACAGACACCG
rnacentral:pre_miRNA from 14 species